UGUAAAUGGACGGUUAUGCUCCUCUGGGC
rnacentral:piRNA from 1 species